rnacentral:rRNA from 1 species
AUUGAACGCUGGCGGCAUGCUUUACACAUGCAAGUCGAACGGUAACAGCACUUCGGUGGCUGACGAGUGGCGAACGGGUGAGUAAUACAUCGGAACGUGCCUAGUACUGGGGUAUAACUACUCGAAAGAGUAGCUAAUACCGCAUGAGAUCGAAGGAUGAAAGCAGGGGACCUUCUGGCCUUGCGCUACUAGAGCGGCUGAUGGCAGAUUAGGUAGUUGGUGGGAUAAAAGCUUACCAAGCCGACGAUCUGUAGCUGGUCUGAGAGGACGACCAGCCACACUGGAACUGAGACACGGACCAGACUCCUACGGGAGGCAGCAGUGGGGAAUUUUGGACAAUGGGCGCAAGCCUGAUCCAGCAAUGCCGCGUGCAGGAUGAAGGCCUUCGGGUUGUAAACUGCUUUUGUACGGAACGAAAAGCCCUCUUCUAAUACAGGGGGGUCAUGACGGUACCGGAAGAAUAAGCACCGGCUAACUACGUG